AUUGAACGCUGGCGGCAGGCUUAACACAUGCAAGUCGAACGAGUGGCGGACGGGUGAGUAAAGUCUGGGAAACUGCCCGAUGGAGGGGGAUAACUACUGGAAACGGUAGCUAAUACCGCAUACCAUCGGAUGUGCCCCGAUGGGAUUCGCUAGUAGGUGGGGUAACGUCUCACCUAGGCGACGUUCCGUAGCUGGUCUGAGAGGAUGAGCAGCCAAACUGGAACUGAGACACGGUCCAGACUCCUACGGGAGGCAGCAGUGGGGAAUAUUGGACAAUGGGCGCAAGCCUGAUGCAGCCAUGCCGCGUGUAUGAAGAAGGCCUUCGGGUUGUAAAGUACUUUCAGCGAGGAGGCGUUACUCGCAGAAGAAGCACCGGCUAACUCCGUGCCAGCAGCCGCGGUAAUUC
rnacentral:rRNA from 1 species